CCUACGGGUGGCAGCAGUGAGGAAUAUUGGUCAAUGGGCGUAAGCCUGAACCAGCCAAGUCGCGUGAGGGAUGAAGGUUCUAUGGAUCGUAAACCUCUUUUAUAAGGGAAUAAAGUGCGGGACGUGUCCCGUUUUGUAUGUACCUUAUGAAUAAGGAUCGGCUAACUCCGUGCCAGCAGCCGCGGUAAUACGGAGGAUCCGAGCGUUAUCCGGAUUUAUUGGGUUUAAAGGGUGCGUAGGCGGCCUUUUAAGUCAGCGGUGAAAGUCUGUGGCUCAACCCGGGCCGGCCGUUGAAACUGGGGAUCUUGAGUGGGCGAGAAGUAUGCGGAAUGCGUGGUGUAGCGGUGAAAUGCAUAGAUAUCACGCAGAACUCCGAUUGCGAAGGCAGCAUACCGGCGCCCGACUGACGCUGAGGCACGAAAGCGUGGGGAUCGAACAGGAUUAGAUACCCCUGUAGUC
rnacentral:rRNA from 1 species